rnacentral:rRNA from 1 species
UACGUAGGUGGCAAGCGUUGUCCGGAUUUACUGGGCGUAAAGCGCACGUAGGCGGACUGUUAAGUCGGAUGUGAAAUCCCUCAGCUUAACUGAGGAAGUGCAUUCGAAACUGGCAGUCUUGAGUAUGGAAGAGGGUCGCGGAAUUCCCGGUGUAGAGGUGAAAUUCGUAGAUAUCGGGAGGAACACCAGUGGCGAAGGCGGCGACCUGGGCCAAUACUGACGCUGAGGUGCGAAAGCGUGGGGAGCAAACAGG